GGGAAUGUAGCCCAGUGGUAGAGUUCUUGCCUAGCAUGCAUGAAUACCUGGGUUUGAGUCCCAGCACCUA
rnacentral:tRNA from 1 species